rnacentral:rRNA from 1 species
AAGGUUGGCUAAUCCUGGUCGGACAUCAGGAGGUUAGUGCAAUGGCAUAAGCCAGCUUGACUGCGAGCGUGACGGCGCGAGCAGGUGCGAAAGCAGGUCAUAGUGAUCCGGUGGUUCUGAAUGGAAGGGCCAUCGCUCAACGGAUAAAAGGUACUCCGGGGAUAACAGGCUGAUACCGCCCAAGAGUUCAUAUCGACGGCGGUGUUUGGCACCUCGAUGUCGGCUCAUCACAUCCUGGGGCUGAAGUAGGUCCCAAGGGUAUGGCUGUUCGCCAUUUAAAGUGGUACGCGAGCUGGGUUUAGAACGUCGUGAGACAGUUCGGUCCCUAUCUGCCGUGGGCGCUGGAGAACUGAGGGGGGCUGCUCCUAGUACGAGAGGACCGGAGUGGACGCAUCACUGGUGUUCGGGUUGUCAUGCCAAUGGCACUGCCCGGUAGCUAAAUGCGGAAGAGAUAAGUGCUGAAAGCAUCUAAGCACGAAACUUGCCCCGAGAUGAGUUCUCCCUGAGACUUAGAGUCUCCUGAAGGAACGUUGAAGACGACGACGUUGAUAGGCCGGGUGUGUAAGCGCAGCGAUGCGUUGAGCUAACCGGUACUAAUGAACCGUGAGGCUUAACCUU